UACGUAGGGCGCAAGCGUUGUCCGGAAUUAUUGGGCGUAAAGAGCUCGUAGGCGGUUUGUCGCGUCUGCUGUGAAAACCUGAGGCUCAACCUCGGGCUUGCAGUGGGUACGGGCAGACUAGAGUGCGGUAGGGGUGACUGGAAUUCCUGGUGUAGCGGUGGAAUGCGCAGAUAUCGGGAGGAACACCAAUGGCGAAGGCAGCUCGCUGGGACGGUACUGACGCUGAGGCGCGAAAGCGUGGGGAGCAAACAGG
rnacentral:rRNA from 1 species